CAGCCGCCGCGGUAAUACCGGCGGCCCGAGUGGCGGUCACUCUUAUUGGGCUUAAAGCGUCCGUAGCCGGGGUGGGAAGUCCUCCGGGAAAUCUGGCCGCUUAACGGUCAGAAUGCCGGAGGAUACUCCCAGCCUAGGGAGCGGGAGAGGCCGAGGGGAUUCCCGGAGUAGGGGUGAAAUCCUAUAAUCCCGGGAGGACCACCUGUGGCGAAGGCGCUCGGCUGGAACGCGUCCGACGGUGAGGGACGAAGGCCAGGGGAGCAAACCGGAUUAGAUACCCGGGUAGUCCUGGCUGUAAACGAUGCGGACUUUGUGUCGGACAAGCUAUGAGCUUGUCCGGUGCCGGAGGGAAACCGUUAAGUCCGCCGCCUGGGGAGUACGGCCGCAAGGCUGAAACUUAAAGGAAUUGGCGGG
rnacentral:rRNA from 1 species